ensembl:miRNA
UGUAGUUCAAAGCCCUUUUUCUAUUGUACUACUGUGAAAUCACAUGAGCAGUGCAAUAUUAAAAGGGCAUUGGCCGACA